rnacentral:SRP_RNA from 1 species
GCUGGGUGUGGUGCCGGGCGCCUGUAAUCCCAGCUGCUUGGGAGGCUGACACAGGAGAAUUGCUUGAACCCAGGAGGCAGAGGCUGCAGUGAGCUGAAAUCUGCCACUGCACUGCAGCCUGGGUGACAGAGCAAGACUCUGUCUCAN